AGAGAGAGAGAGAGACAGAUUUUUAGAGAUCAAUUAGUCAAUGCAUACGUCUCUGUUGCAUUUUAAAACUGCAGAACUUCUCAACGUUUAUUAGGUGAUAAACAAGAUUGUUCUCAGGGCCGUUAAUCAAGGCUUUUACGCCCGUGCUUCUCGGUGCGCGUCGGAGUCGGUUCAACGAUCGCUGACGCCAACCCUGCAGUCAAAGACGGGACACUUCUGUGAGCGAGUGAAAGCAGGAACUUUGUCACUUGCCCUUUACUUCAUUCCUCCUGGUCUAUUUCUGAUGAAGAAGUGGCGAGGCUACAAACAAGGAACGCUAUUUACAGUCGGAGCUGACACUCGACAAACACGUUUCCAUUGGCAUUGUUCACGCUCCGGCUCAACAUUCAGGGGCCUCGGCGUCUGAAGAAAUGUAACUUUUAGUCACGAAGAAGACGGACAGCUUUAUUCUGCUGACGUCGGCGGAUGUUUCAUGUACUUCUUCGUGAUGAAUCCACAACCUACAGACUGCUUGGACACAUGUGCGGUCUUUAUUGUUGGCCCUGAGUGAAUAAGCCCGGUGAUGUCGCCCGAUUUGUUCCUUAAACGGUGCAGAGCUCUUCUUGGUUUCCCACAUGCCUCGCUUGUUACCGAUGUCACCUGGUUUCACAUCCUGUCACAAUUAGGACCAACCAUGACUCCAUUAGUCUGAUGCAGUGGUGAAAGAUACUUUUACAGAAGCAAAAUGAUACAGAACAGUGUUUUAACAUUAAAAGUCCUGCAAAAUAAUAUAUUUAGCUUGUAUCUUUACGAUAUUCAUUGCUGUCACGGCCGUCGUCAGAAAGACGCAGUGCCCACCCUCCGAGCCCCCCUCAGAUAAACGAUGUUAGCUGUAUCAGCACCGCUGCCGUUGUUAGCACUGUUAGCAUUGUUAGCAUUGUUAGCACUGGCUCAGCUGUCGCCAUGUUGAGAGCCGUGUGGAGGCAAUCGAAAUGUUCAUAUAGUUGCGCAAUAGUUAAGCAUCAAAAGUACGUUUUCAUUAUGCAGAACAAGGGUACAUUUUAAAUAUGUAAUGCUCGGUAGCUUAAUGUACAAUAUUGCACACAAAUGUAUUUGUUGAUUU